AGGACUUGAACUAUUCAAGAAAUAAUGGAAUAGGCAGGAACAAUAAGGGUGAAAACAAGAAAUCUUCUCAAUUUAAGUUGGUUGACCCGGAUGAGAUUAUUGAUCCGGCUACCCUAAAUUAUGGAUCAGCCUCUGAUAGAGACGAGGAUGAUGAAGCAUGUGAGAAUUCUGAUUCCUCAAGUGAUUCAUCUUUACAGCCAUAUGACUUGACGGAUGAUGAUACAGAUCUGCAAAAAAAAUUUACACAGUUGGUUGAUGUGGUUGGAGCCCUGCGGAAAUCUGAUGAUGCUGACGGGGUAGAGAGGGCUCUUGAUGUUGCUGAAAAGCUUGUGCGAGCUUCACCUGAUGAGCUUACUUAUGUGGUAGGUGAUCUUGCUAGAACCCUUGUACAGGUUCGUUGCUCUGAUUUGGCUGUAGAAGGUGAGGAAGAAUCAGUUGAAGAAAAGAGGCAAAGA
rnacentral:misc_RNA from 1 species